GCGUGAGUGAUGAAGGCCUUAGGGUUGUAAAGCUCUUUUACCAGGGAUGAUAAUGACAGUACCUGGAGAAUAAGCUCCGGCUAACUCCGUGCCAGCAGCCGCGGUAAUACGGAGGGAGCUAGCGUUGUUCGGAAUUACUGGGCGUAAAGCGUGCGUAGGCGGUCCAUCAAGUCAGAGGUGAAAGCCUGGAGCUCAACUCCAGAACUGCCUUUGAAACUAGCGGACUAGAAUCUGGGAGAGGUGAGUGGAAUUCCGAGUGUAGAGGUGAAAUUCGU
rnacentral:rRNA from 1 species